rnacentral:lncRNA from 1 species
UGCCACCAACCCUCCUGUACCAAAGAUUGUCCACACCGGGCACAUUUUCGUUGCAACGGUGAUAUCAUAUUAUUAUUAUAAUAAAUCAAUUAAUAAUUAAAAAUAAAUAAAAUAUAAAAAAUAAUAUAAAAUAUUAUUAACAAAUAAAAUAUAUGUUGGUUAAUAAAAUAUAAAAAAUUUUAUAAAUUUAUUAUAAUUUUGACGUGAUAUCACUGUUGCAAUGAAUAUUCUUUCGUCCAGUCUC